rnacentral:rRNA from 1 species
GAUGAACGCUGGCUACAGGCUUAACACAUGCAAGUCGAGGGGAAACGGCAUUGAGUGCUUGCACUGAAUGGACGUCGACCGGCGCACGGGUGAGUAACGCGUAUCCAACCUUCCCGUUACUGCGGGAUAACCUGCCGAAAGGCAGACUAAUACCGCAUGUUCUUCGAUGACGGCAUCAGAUUCGAAGCAAAGAUCCGUCGGUAACGGAGGGGGAUGCGUCUGAUUAGCUAGUUGGCGGGGCGACGGCCCACCAAGGCGACGAUCAGUAGGGGUUCUGAGAGGAAGGUCCCCCACAUUGGAACUGAGACACGGUCCAAACUCCUACGGGAGGCAGCAGUGGGGAAUAUUGGUCAAUGGGCGGAAGCCUGAACCAGCCAAGUAGCGUGCAGGAUGACGGCCCUACGGGUUGUAAACUGCUUUUAUGCGGGGAUAAAGUGAGGGACGCGUCCCUUUUUGCAGGUACCGCAUGAAUAAGGACCGGCUAAUUCCGUG